UCAUUAAAAUGUUUGCAGCGUAG
rnacentral:piRNA from 1 species